rnacentral:rRNA from 1 species
GACGUAGGGCGCGAGCGUUGUCCGGAUUUAUUGGGCGUAAAGAGCUCGUAGGCGGCUUGUUGCGUCGGCUGUGAAAACCCAUGGCUCAACCGUGGGCUUGCAGCCGAUACGGGCAGGCUAGAGUUCGGUAGGGGAGACUGGAAUUCCUGGUGUAGCGGUGAAAUGCGUAGAUAUCUGAAGGAACAUCAGUGGCGAAAGCGACUUCCUGGACGAAUACUGACGCUCAUGUGCGAAAGCGUGGGGAGCAAACAGG